rnacentral:rRNA from 1 species
UACGGGGGGAGCAAGCGUUGUUCGGAUUUACUGGGCGUAAAGGGCGCGUAGGCGGCCACCGCAGGUCGACUGUGAAAUCUCCGGGCUUAACCCGGAAAGGUCAGCCGAUACUGCGGGGCUAGAGUGCAGAAGGGGCAACUGGAAUCCUCGGUGUAGCGGUGAAAUGCGUAGAUAUCGAGAGGAACACCUGCGGCGAAGGCGGGUUGCUGGGCUGACACUGACGCUGAUGCGCGAAAGCUAGGGGAGCGAACGGG